GGCUAACGCUGGCGGCGUGUCUUAGCCAUGCAAGUCGAGCGGACUUAUGGGGUAACUUAUAAGUCAGCGGCGGACGGCGGAGUAACACGUAGCUAACCUACCCUCUGGACGGGGAUAACCUACCGAAAGGUGGGCUAAUACCCGAUGUAGUCAUCCUGUAUAGGGGUGAUGAAAGGUGGGCUUCUGUUUACAAGCUCAUGCUGGAGGAGGGGGCUGCGGCCUAUCAGGUAGUUGGUAGGGUAAUAGCCUACCAAGCCGAUGACGGGUAGCCGGCCUGAGAGGGUGACCGGCCCGAGGGGCACUGAGAUACGGGUCCCACUCCUACGGGAGGCAGCAGGCUAGAAAUUUGGGCAAUGGGGGAAACCCUGACCCAGUGACGCCGCGUGCAGGAAGGAGCCCUUCGGGGUGUAAACUGCUGUCGUGUAGGGAGAAGGGUACUAAGGUGAACAAUUUUAGUACUUGACGGUACUACAGGAGGAAGCCCAGGCUAACCUCGUG
rnacentral:rRNA from 1 species